UCCUGAUUGAUUUGUUCCCAAUGAAGUGUAAUUAGUUUAAGAUUUUGGUGCAACACCCUGAUGAGCAACUCUUGAUGUGAUUUGUCCGGUAGAUGCUAAGGGGAGUGUUUUCAGUGCAAAUUCCUAAUAUCUGUCUCUGUUUUGAAUUGUCUGGUUGGUUAUUGAGUUUCUGAUAGUCUGGGUCUCUGCUCCUCUAAUGAUUUUAUUAUGAGCAUGGGAAACCACACGAGAACAAUUUGGAUAACCUCCAAACGUGAAAUCUCGCGAAUUAUGGCCCAUCUAUUAAGACCAAAAAUAACUUAACCCCAAUAAAAGAGAGAAGUGUAGUGCGAAAAUUGAAUGAAUUUGAAAAGGAAUGAGACAUGAUUGUAAAGGAAAUUGCAUUAGGAAAUUCACUCUUAGCGGAGAAUUGGGUCUGAUCGGAUUGAGUUGUAUCACCGUGUUGUUGCACUUUUAAAAUCUUAACUUUGAACACUUGAUUGGGGGACAUUGAUUUCUUGAA
rnacentral:lncRNA from 1 species